CCUACGGGAGGCAGCAGUGGGGAAUCUUGCGCAAUGGGCGAAAGCCUGACGCAGCAACGCCGCGUGCGGGAAGAAGGCUUUCGGGCUGUAAACCGCUUUCAGCAGGAACGAAAAUGACGGUACCUGCAGAAGAAGGAGCGGCCAACUAUGUGCCAGCAGCCGCGGUGAUACAUAGGCUUCAAGCGUUGUCCGGAUUUAUUGGGCGUAAAGAGUUCGUAGGCGGUCGAGUAAGUCGGGUGUGAAAAUUCUGGGCUCAACCCAGAGACGCCACCCGAUACUGCUUGACUUGAGUUCGAUAGGGGAGUGGGGAAUUCCUAGUGUAGCGGUGAAAUGCGCAGAUAUUAGGAGGAACACCGGUGGCGAAGGCGCCACUCUGGAUCGAUACUGACGCUGAGGAACGAAAGCAUGGGUAGCAAACAGGAUUAGAUACCCUGGUAGUCCAUGCCGUAAACGGUGGGCACUAGGUGUGGGUUUCUAUUAACGAAAUCCGCGCCGUCGCUAACGCAUUAAGUGCCCCGCCGUCGGGUAGGUACGGUCGCAGACUAAACUACAAGAAGUAGACGGCGUGAGACGUGCCGACGACGACGACGAGGGAGUAGG
rnacentral:rRNA from 1 species